GCAUGAAUGCUUUGUACAAUUUUAGUACAAUAUAUUCCAAAGCCAUGAGCUUGAUUGUAUUUAUAGAUACAAAUAAUAUGCAUGUGCUUUCUUAUUGCUUGGCAUACUUUGUUAUGGUUUGACUUAUACAUCAUAUAUGCUCAUCCAUGGAUAGCCUCUUGCUUGCUAGCUAGUGAUACAUGUUAGUUGUUGCCUGUCCCUGUAUAUGCUAAUAUAAGGAUGCAUGUCAUUUAUUUGUUUAGCUUUGCCAUGUUUGUUAGUGCAUAUGUCCAUAUUAUCACAUGAUAGCCUAUUGUCACUGAAGGAGCAUAUGUAUUCUAGAGUGCUUUAUCCCUAUUAAUUAUUCUCACAUGAUAGCAUUGUUUGUUCUGACCUCCAUCAUGUAUAUGUUGGCUUGCAAAUGCCUAUAUUGUUUAGUUGCCUAUAGCUAAGAUGCAUCUCUUUGGUAUUAUCAUGCUCAUGCCACUAGCAUAGAUCCUAUGCUUGCUUGACUAGUAUAGAAUCAUGUGUGGCAUGUUUUACUCAUAAUUUAUCUGUUGUGAUUGUUCAUGCUUAAUUUGUAUUCAACCUUGACUUGAAUUAGAACUACUUCUGUUUUUUAUUUUAUUUAUUUUUAUCAUGUGUAGAGAGAAUUGUUAGCUUUGUAAGUCUCUCACUCAUCCUUGCUGUUGUAUGCCAGUUUGUAUAUUAUGCGAAUUGCUUGUUUAACUAGGAUGAUAGGAGUUUGAUUGCUGCUUGCAUGCUAGCAUAAUAAUGUGUGUUGCUUUGUCAUGGAGUGCAUUUACAAAUAUGCUUGAGAGUUAUCUUUGGUUAGUGGCAGCAUAGCUUUAUAGUUUAGUAUUUAUUAUUAUUAUACUAAAGGGUAUGACCAAUCAUAUAUAUCCUUCCUCUCGGAUAUAUAAUUAUACUUGUUAGAAUCUGUCCCACCAUCCAAUCCUAUCAAAGUUAUUCAUAUCGUUUCCAAACCUAUUGUCAGCCUCAUUGUUUAUUCGCUCUCUUAUUUCUAUUUCAUUUGACUUUAUUGCUUUUGCAUUUAUUUUGUUUGUUCUUGUUAUCGUUACGACAAAUAGAGAGUGACGAGGUGGAUCUGAGUGCGUCCAAUGACAAGUUUUGGGAUCGAUCUCUCAGUUCUGAGUGUGAUGCGAUCGCAACAAGGUAAGUAAAAGGGGAAGGCUCUGAAUAGAGGAGCAUAAUUAGUUUUAUUACGUACCGAUGGUACAAGAAGGUACUUAAAAAUGCAGAAAAAGGAAAACGAAUAGGUGAGAAACUAAAAAAUAAAAUCGAGUAAAAAAAGCCUGGCGCGUUGGCGGCACAAUUGCGUGGCAUUCCGCGCCUUGCUUCUUGAGUCCCCGGCUCUGGAUUGGAGUCUGAGGGGGAGGUUUUUGAUUCUCCUAUCCCGUAGUCGAGUUGGCUGAACAGCCAUGUCAAGUGCAACUGGGUGCACUGCUCCGGCGAAACUGGCUGGGCGCGGAGGCGGAGGAGGAGCACCGAUGGCUAGAGCUCCUGGUAUGGGAGGCAGCAAGGGUGCAUUGACUCCUUCGUUAGGGUAUGGAAGCAUCCCAGGUAGCUGUGAGAAGCCCGCACUUGUUGCCCACUGCUGUGUCCUGGCAAACUCAGCCUGCAGUUCCUUGGAGCGCCGGCACUCGGCUAGAGGGUGGCUUGGCUUGAUGUUGCCUUGCUCAUCCCUGUAGACGUGAAACGGGCAAGGGGAAGCUAGCUGCUGAGCAAGGGUUGGUUGAUUUCUUUUUCUCUGCCAUUUGUUGCCCACGCUUGUCACCACCUCGAAAACCUCCACCGUGAUUUCCGGUCUCCUAAGAGCCAAAAUCUGUCGGAGAGGCUGCCGCGAUGAAUUCAGGAGGGUGUGAUUCUUCGAAGGCUCGGUUUUUGUGCUCCUUCGUCGAUCGUGGCCACGAUCACCCUCUUCCUCUGGAGAUCGGUGGCGUUCAUUGCGAACCGAGUCUUCACCGUCAGCCCAUCGAUUUGUGGGCUGCACACAACCCAAUUCUUCCUUGAGUUCGACUCGUCGGAGUCCUCGUUUGAAGGCGUACAUGGCGCUUUCGUCGGAGACUUCCUCAGCAGCGUGUUUGGUGUUGGUCCAGCGCUGGAUGUACGAACGGAUGGAUUCUCCCUCCUUUUGAAUACAAGCUCAGAGUUGCUCGAUGUCGCACCAGUGGCACCCAGGGUACCACCGCUGCACGACGCGUGGGCCCCGUUCCCGGGUUCCCGGGAAGGUCUCAUCCCGAGGAGCGUCUAUGAGCUCCCCGGCAAGCUACCAGCCCGAAAGGGGCUCGCGGGGCUUCGGGGAAUAUUCCCGCCUGGGCACCUCCGGGAAACUGCUUCCCGAGAGGGGGUUCCCAGGUGCGUUGGGCCCGGGUGCUUCCCGGGGUCGACUUGCUGGGUUCCCGGGCGCGUGCCCCCGCCUCGGGCGUGGGGCCCAGUGGACAGCGCCACGCGGGCGCAAUGCGGGCGCGGGACGCGCGGUCCCACCAAGGCAAUGAGUAAGGCGCACGGCUCAGUAAACGAGCCGACCGACGGGUAGUUACCCGUCCGAUCCAAGGAACAGUGGUUGUCUAAUCCUACCCUAGGGUCCUAGGCCCCUAGCAGCAGAGGUGGCACCCAUGCACGCCACCAGCUCACCGGGGGAAGUUGCAUGCCUCCCCGUUGGACACUUGUAGCUCAUGCACCAUGGCACAUGUGGCAUCCCCUUGUGUAUAAAAGGAGGACCCAUGCCAACGGUCAAGGGGGUUAGUCAGUUGGUCAGUUAGUUGGUUCGGACGAAGCUCGCUCGAUAGAUGCUUAGUGGCUCCGGUAGGCAGCCAGCAGAGAGCGGUGAGGAGUGCCUAGCCACUGAGAGAAAGCCCGGGAGCUUGCCCGACAACCUGUAAACAUUUGAUCCGUAAUUAAUAUCAGCUCAGACAGGCAGGACGUAGGGUUUUACACCUCCGGGUGGCCCAAACCUAGGUAAAAAACGUGUGUGCAUAUGUUCUUGGACUAGCGCGCAUCCUUAGCACUUUGUCUCACCGGCCCCGUAGGGCCUCAUCAGCCGUGCCGACGAUCACCGAGUCUCCGCCCCAGACGCCCCUACCGAACCUAAAAGGGGGACGUGGCCGCACGCCCUCGGUGUCGGAGCACCGAGCGACGACAUCUGGCGCGCCAGGUAGGGGGCACGGGAGUGGACAACGCCGGAGAUCGCCGGCAGCAGAAGUUUCCAUCGGCGUCGGCUUCGCUCUUCUUCGCCGACGAGCCUAGUCACCAUGCCCCCCAAGCGGGCUGGUGACUCACGCAUAGACUCGAGUCGGGGGCUCAAGAGAACCCCGAGCCCUCUAGGGUGCAGCAAACGCAGCUGCCUCCGCCGCCUCCUCGGCCGUCGACCGACAAUCGGCCAAGGGGACCGGCUGCCCCCAGUGUCGGGGGCAGUCGGGCGAGCACGCACGACGUCGCUCGGGCCAGCCAACGGGUUGAUCGCGGCUCGAGGACGCCCCGCGGCAGCGGCACCAGGAGCACGCCGCGUCACGAGCAACCCCUGGGGGUUCGCACCCUGCACACCCGGAGACGUUCAGGAAACCGGCUGCCCCCCGUGCGAACCCCGGCUGAAGCCAUCGUCGCCGCGCGCGUCAUGGUGCGGUACGAGCCGCAGCAGGGCACGCCGGUGCACGAGACGUGGGGCAAGGAGUUGGAAGCGCUUCUCGCCCUGGCCGCCCAGCAGCCGCAAGGCGAGGGCGCCCCGGUGGGCUCCGGCCACGGGCAGAACCCGGAGCGCGGAGACGCGUCACCCGCCUCACGACAGGGGGAGAACCCUCCCCUUCCUCACCGAGGCCAAGGAGACGGGGGCCCGGAGGGGUCCUCGAACUCAUCGCCCACCGUUCCGGGGGGCGAUGCGCAUGGCAUCUUGAAUGCUCGCCAGCAGGAGGAUCUGCGCCAGCGCUUGGAGCGCUGGCACAGGCGCGAGGUGGAGCGCCAGCGCCCUUAGGAGCAAGAAGAUGCUCCCAUGGGCCCCGAGGACGGCUGCACCGCGUUCACGCGCGAUCUGCGGCGGGUGGCGUGGCCCCGUAAGUUCCGAGCGCCUGCGCUCAGUACGUACGACGGGACCGCUAACCCCAAGGAUUUUCUCCUGACCUACACGUUGGGCAUGCAUGCCAUCGGCGCUGAAGGGGAUCAAGCAGCGCCACGAGGAGCGCCGCGCCGCCGGCGCCUGCUUCAAUUGUGGCGACAUCGGGCAUCUCUCCUGAGAUUGCCCGAACGACCCCAGGGUGGGUCCGAGGCCGGCCGGCGGUGGUGCCGACAAGGGUGCCCCAAGGGGGGCGCGGCCAACCCCGCGCUAUGCGGGAACACCCUCCUCGGGGACGCGACAGGGCGCGUGCUGAGGAGCAGCGCGAGUCCGACUAUUCCGGCGGCAACGAACCGGGCUUCCAGGAGCCUCGUGGCGUCGCCUGCAUUCAUGGGGGAGCUUGCGCUCUCCCUUCCCACCCCGCGGUGAAGCGCCUCACCCGCGACGUGUGCGCGCUGUUGCCGGAUGCGGAACCGCAAUAGCCGCUGAGGUGGUCGCACGUGCCGAUCACCCAGCACGGCAGUUGGGUUCAGGGGUAAUACCCUUCGUCGUCUCGCCGAUCAUUAGCAAUAUGACGGUGACCAAGGUGUUGGUGGACAACGGAGCGGGGCUUAACCUCCUGUCCGCCAGGCUGGUGGAAAAGUUCCAGCUGCCGAUGGAGCAGCUGAAGCCCACCGAACCGUUCCGGGGGGUGAACCCCGGGAUCGUGUGCCCGCUGGAACGCAUCACGCUGCCGGUCACCUUCGGGUCCCGUGUAUCGUUCAGGACCGAGCACAUAGUGUUCGACGUGGCGCAUACCCCGUUGCGCUACAACGGGAUCCUUGGUCGGCCGGCGCUGAUCAAGUAAUGGCGGCUACGCAUUGCGCCUACGGCGUGAUGAAGAUGCCGUCCGUCUAUGGAGUCCUCUCCAUCAGGUGCGACCUCAAAGACGCGGCUUGGUGCGUUGGCGAGGUCGUCCGGGCCGCUGCUGCAGCUGACGCCGGCGACGAGGAUGUUCUCGAGGACGACGGCUUGCCGGGUGAUGCCCUGGCAACGAAGAAGUCCCGUGCCACCCCGCAAGGGCUUGCCGGGGGAGGUGCAGGCUCGGGCUCGCGCCCCGGCAAGGGGCAGGGGCUCCGGGAGGAGGCCACCAAAGUGAAGAAGUUGCCCCUCCAAGCCGGCGAUGAGGAGCGCACCGUUACCGUCGGUGCGAACCUGGCCGCCGAAUAGGAAAGCGCCCUCAUCACCUUCCUCCGGGAUAACGCCGAUGUGUUCGCCUGGCAAGCGUCGGACCUUCCCGGAGUCCCCAGGGAGGUGAUUGAGCAUCGGCUCGCGGUGUGCCCGGAUGCGCACCCCAUUAGGCAGAAGAUCCGGCGGCAAGCACAAGAGCGGAAAGAUUUCAUCAAGCAAGAGGUGGGCAAGCUUAGGGCUGCCAGGGCAAUCAGGGAAGUUUUGUACCCACUUGGCUGGCUAACCCUGUAGUAGUGCCUAAAGCAGGGAAUAAGCUUCGCAUGUGCGUACAUUUUACCGAUCUUAAUCGUGCAUGCCCCAAGGAUCCCUUCCCUGUACCCCGUAUCGACCAGAUAGUUGAUUCUACCACUGUUGUGAUUUGCUGAGUUUUCUGGAUGCUUUCUCCGGCUACCAUCAAAUCAAGAUGGCGGUCGAGGAUGAGGAAAAGACAGCGUUUAUCACCUCGGUUGGCUGCUAUUGCUAUACAUGCAUGCCUUUCGGGUUGAAGAACGCGGACUCCACAUUCCAGCGCGCCCUGCGCGAAUGUUUGGGCCCCCAGCUAGGCCGCAACGUGGAGGCCUACAUGGACGACAUCGUCAUCAAAUCGAAGCGUAGGGACUCGCUGGUUGAUGACUUGCGGGAGACAUUCGACAACCUCCGCAGGAUCAAGCUCAAGAUGAACCCUGAUAAGCGCACCUUCGGAGUCAACUCCAGGGAGCUUCUGGAUUUCUUGGUUUCACACCGGGGGAUACAGGCCAACUCGACAAAAAUAGAAGCCAUCCAGAAGAUGGAGGCCCCCCGCAAGGUGAAAGAUGUCCAACGCCUCAACGGCUGUGUUGCCGCGCUGGGACGUUUCAUCUCCAGGCUGGGUGAGCGUGCCUUGCCUUUCUUCCGGGUAAUGAAGAAGAAGGGUCCAGUCGACUGGACUCCCGAGGCCGAGGCAGCGUUCCAAGAACUCAAGCAGUACCUGAGGUCGUCGCCCAUCCUCGUCGCCCCCAAGCUGGGCGAGCCGCUGCUACUCUACCUAGUGGUGAUUGACCAGGUGGUCAGCUUGGUGCUGAUUGCCAAGAGGGAGGAAGACGUCCCGGGGACUGGGGCCGCGGGGCAGGGGGCGGGGCGGCCCUCGGCAACCGCCUCAGACCCGGGGACCGCCCCCGAGCCGGCAACCUCGGCACUGCGGAAGCGGUUGGUGCAGCACCCGGUGUACUUCGUUAGUACGGUGCUACGCGACGCGCGGACAAGGUACCCGCAAGUACAGAAGCUCCUUCUGGGGAUUCUCCUUGCGUCCCGCAACUGCGCCACUACUUCCAGGCGCACCGCGUCACGGUGGUGUCCGGGUUCUGCCUUGAGCGAGCCCUCACCAACCGUGAAGCCACCGGGAGGGUGGCCGAAUGGAGGAUGGAGUUGUCGGAGUUCGACCUCCACUUCGCCAACUCUAAAAGCAUUAAGAGCACGGCCCUGGCGGACUUCGUCGCGGAAUGGACGUCCACGGGCGUGGAAGAAAGUGAGCCGGAGACCAGCCUUCCCGGCAAGUUGGACGAGGGCCACUAGGUCCUCUACUUCGACGGUGCAUUCAGUCUUCAGGGAGCGGGCGCCGGGGUCGUCAUCGAGUUACCAACAGGGGACCAGUUGAGGUUCGCUGUUCAACUCGACUUCGCCAACUCCACCAACAACACGGCGGAGUACGAGGGCCUGUUUGCGGGGUUGCGGGCAGCGGUCGCCCUCGACAUUAAGCGCCUGGUUGUUUGUGGCGAUUCCCAGCUCGUAAAUAACCAGGUGAACAAGGACUACGAUUGCAAGCUGGAACGAAAGUUCAAAGGUUUGCGCUUUGAGCACGUCAAGCGGAAGGAUAACUUCGCUGCUUACGAGCUGGUCAAGAUGGCAGAAGAGCGCCGGAAGCCUCCAGCGGGGCUGUUCUGUCAGAAGCAAGUGGCUCCUUCAGUCACCCCGUGGUCGACCCUGCCUCGGUCGUCGAGGCCGUGGGGGCGGAGGUGUAGGCGGAACCGGCUCUCACGUCCGGCCCCGCUGUGACGGACACAGCGGCAGCAGAGGACACCGCCGCCGCCGUGACGGCACCUGGCGACGCGCCCGAAGCCGCGGACGUGGUCGACACGGGCUCACCUGUCGUCCAACAGGAGGCAACCCCCGCCGGAGGCAGGGAGCCUUCUCCAGCCCCGGGGUCCCCGAGCGCAGGCGCGGGGGAAGUUGCCGGGAAAGAACGGCAAGACCCCCGGGAGCAAAUCCACGACCCCGCGCCUAGCCCCACUUCGGCAGCAGGGGCUUCAUCAUCCUUGGGGGCUCGCCCGGGUACCUACCUCGGCACCCUCGCCGGGGUCGCUUGGAACCCCCUUACGUGGGAUCCGAGUGUCUUUGAGCGGGGGCACCGGUUCCUGGACGCCGUCCGGGACCAGCAAUUGGCCUUCGUCACCUCCUUCAACGAGGUGAGGGAGCACCACACCACCGCCAAGAAUCAACUCGGCGAGGGGCGGAAGGCCGUGGAGAGAGAGCGGCGCGAACUCUCCCGGCUGCGCGAGGCGACGCGCCUUGCCGAAGAGGAGGCGCGGCUGGCCCGGAAAGCCCUAGAGGCCGCUCGGGAGCCGGUAGUCCCGGAGACCGAGCUCCGUCGGCAACUGGAGGCCCAGCGCGUGGAGCUUCAAGGAAGGCUCGACACGAUGGCGGCCACCCUCGAGGCGGCCCGGAAGGAGCACGCCGAAGUGCUUGCAACGGCUCAGACGCGGCUGGAGGAGAAGAGCGAACUGAUCGCCAAUUACCAUGGCGAAAUCCAGGGCCUCCGCGUCUUGCUGGAGGUGCAGGUCAAGGAUGCCGAGGAUGCGGCGAGAAUGGCGGCUCGUCACGAGGCCGAGCUCAACUCCGCCAAAGACAGAGCGGCCAGGCUCGAGACCGAGUUGGCCGCCGUCCGGGAGGAGCUCGCCAAGGCCGGCGUGGACAAUGCGACCAAGGCCGCAGAGCUUGCGAAGCUGGAGGGCCGCGUCAGCAAGGCCAAGAAGGCCGCGCAGGAUGCCCGACUCCACCACGGCACGCUGAUCAGGAGGUCUUGAUUGCUUCCAGGGUGUUCGCCGGCAUGAGAGAACAGUUGUCCUCGAGUCGCAUUAUUUCGUAGAGUGUUGUCCUUUUGUGUGCACGGUAGCUUUCCUGCAUUAGAAAAAACAGAAAACAGUUUCUAAAAAAAAAAGGAAACAGAAAACUUGAAUGUUAUGAACCGGUGUUUGUCCCAAUAAUCUGGUAAGCCCAAUGAUAUCAUUAUAGUGCUUAGCGCGCCUGAACUUGGUGAGGGGCUUCAUGAGUUUUGUGCCGUCGUAGUUUCGCGCCAGGAAGGAGGCGCAUAGACCGGAGUCCUCGCGGCGCAUGAAAUUUAUGCUUACGGAAAUGUUGGCAAGAAGAAUGAACAGAUGCAUGGUGUAGUUUAGCUUACCUUGUAAAUUUGUCUGUCAUGAUUAUUGGGAAUCGCCUGGUCCAGUCCACAUGGCCGCAUGGCCAGCUGUCGAAAAACGAGCGCACGCAUCUGAAGAAGGCGUCUAUGAUACGAUCGGUAACGAGAUGGUGGAUAUUGACACGACGAUUUGAGAACCCAUAUGGUCCAGCCAUCGGAUCAAGGAUGUGGACGCAUCUAUCCUGCAUGUCAAGCGCAUAGACGCACCACCCCAACUCAAGGAUGGCUGGCACGGAGAACUAUACGUUUAGCAGAGCGGAAUCAGUUGUAGGCACAAUAGAAGGAAGACGUUCGCUGGGUUAGCAAAAAAAAUGGCUUGUCUUGAUUACCAUUCGGCAUGAGGUGACUGAGAACGCCUCGUGGUCGGCCAUGAACUGGUUAUGGGUGGACAUUAUAUCGAGCGGGUCCACACUCGACAAGACAAGGGUCUGGAGCAAAAUUAAUUUGUCAUCAAAUCGCAUGGCGCGUAUAUAAUAAAACGUAACAAGCCAAAUUGUAGUCCCGGAAGUGGGCUUACCGAGAAAUCCGGUUCUAGAAAUUUGCGCCAUCGCAACCAGUAUGAGUCCUUGGAUGAUUGGGCAUCUAUUUGGCUGAGACGACGCAUGAUUAGCGUGCCGAUUUCGUGUGUCAUGGGGUGGGACCCCACCAGUUGUUCUCUGAUCAUGGUUCCGUCGAUGCGCAGUGCUCGUGGCGUCCGAUGAUUGAUCCACAAACUGCUGGUGCAGUUAGGAAAUGGAAAAUAACAAGGAAUUUAUGAAUAUACGCGCAGUGUUCAUGGGGGUAAAAGGAAUUACCGUGUGAAAAUGGAGCCCGGUGCGCGAGUCAUCCAAUCAACAAUAGCUAUGGAUGCGGUCGUGGCAGGUCCGGUUGGGAAUGAACCAAUGGACCAAGGAUCCUGGGCGAAUUUGGCAGGUGUCGUGGACAUCAUGUUGGGGGAUGACAUGGUCCCCUGGCCAAACAAAGGAACUCCUUCGGUUGCAGUUUCUUGUGCGUAAGCAACUUUAAGAAUGGCGCACAUCUCGUCCGCGAAGUCCUGGAUCCUGGUUGCCAGCGUAUCUUCUUGAGGUUUGGGGUCGUCGCUUGAUUUGUGCGAGUUUGUUGGGUUCCUUCCGACUGAGCUGGCGGGGGAUUGUUGUGGACGAACAUUCGUAAAUACCGGCUGCUGUAUUUUUACGUUGCAGCCGUCUGUCGGGCGAAAGCAGACGGAGUUAGUCAUCAACAAUCAGGCACGUUAGCUUCCAAUGACAGUUUGUACUUGCCUUUUGACGUGUAAUUGUUGGAGUCGCGCUAGUUGGUACUGUUCUCGAGGAAAUCGCAUUGGGCUGAUCUCUUCUGUGUCAACGGGCUGUGGCCUGUAGAGCUCUCUGUUCAUAAUUUUUCAUCGCCGUUAAGCAGCUUUGCAUAACUGUGGAAGGGUUUGGGCAGUUUUAAUGGACGUACCGUCACAGUCAAGCGGGCUUGAAGGGCGUACGGGCAGCUUUGAAUCAUUUCGAGUGCGGUAAGAGCUCGGUGUUGUUGAGGGGUGGAAAUGGAAAAACAUUAGUAGUCGCUCUUUGUUUCAUGUAAAAAAGCGACGGCGUUUUAUUCAUAUACCUGCUAUGUUGCAUGUGUUGUGUGGAGGGUGGUUUGGUGCAUAACCCGAGACCGGUACAUAACCCAUGGUCUUGUCGGCGAAUGAAUACAUUUCCUCCUGACACUUGUUCUUGAACUCGUUGACGAAAAGGAUCAACCUAGCGUUAUGCUCCUUGAGUAGUAUGGCGGUCCGUGCUCCAGCCUGCGGAGAAGACAUGUGUUGCUGAUGGUUUCUUGAUGGCGGAAAUCAGUUUUUGCAUUAUCGCGGCUUACCUGAUUAGGGAAUUUUGUGCGUAGGUGGUUGGAGAAAUCAUUUGGUCCAGCCCUGGACACCAUGGUGGGCUGUGGGCCCCUCGUGUGUCCCAUCUAAUCCGGCGGUAAUUGCUGCAGAGGCUGCGCCUCGACGGGAUCUUGGACUGAUCGAGCUUGCUUGGACAGGUCUUCCUUGGGUACUGCGCUCGUUCGAAUCGGACUGCUGCAGCCAGUGCUCGGCCCAAUGCUCUGUACCGGUCAUGUGGACCCCCCACCCCCCAAAGAAGAAACGAUCAGUUCUUGUGAUACGUGUGGGAAUUUUGAUGGAUACAUUUAAGAUGGUGCGCAAACAAAACUAAAAAAUGACGCACCUGCGUGUGGUGGGAUGUUGGCGGGAAGAAUGUCGAACCCUGGUUUUCAGCAACAAGGUAA
rnacentral:lncRNA from 1 species